AGGCCGCGGGAAGCUGUCCAAACCUUAUCAUUUAGAGGAAGGAGAAGUCGUAACAAGGUUUCCGUAGGUGAACCUGCGGAAGGAUCAUU
rnacentral:rRNA from 12 species